rnacentral:rRNA from 1 species
UAGAGUUUGAUCCUGGCUCAGAAUCAACGCUGGCGGCGUGCCUAACACAUGCAAGUCGCACGAGAAAGGGGCUUCGGCUCUGAGUAAAGUGGCGCACGGGUGAGUAACACGUGAAUUAUCUACCUCCGAGUGGGGAAUAACUGAGAGAAAUCUUAGCUAAUACCGCAUAACACUUACGAGUCAAAGCAGCAAUGCGCUUGGAGAGGAGUUCGCGGCCGAUUAGUUAGUUGGCGGGGUAAUGGCCCACCAAGACGAUGAUCGGUAUCCGGCCUGAGAGGGCGCACGGACACACUGGAACUGAAACACGGUCCAGACUCCUACGGGAGGCAGCAGUGGGGAAUUUUGCGCAAUGGGGGAAACCCUGACGCAGCAACGCCGCGUGGAGGAUGAAAUCCCUUGGGAUGUAAACUCCUUUCGAUAGGGAAGAUUAUGACGGUACCUAUAGAAGAAGCCCCGGCUAACUUCGUGCCAGCAGCCGCGGUAAUACGAGGGGGGCAAGCGUUGUUCGGAAUUAUUGGGCGUAAAGGGCGCGUAGGCGGUUUGACAAGUCUGAUGUGAGAUCUCUGGGCUCAACCCAGAGUCUGCAUUAGAAACUGUCGGGCUUGAGUAUGGGAGAGGUGAGUGGAAUUUCCGGUGUAGCGGUGAAAUGCGUAGAUAUCGGAAGGAACACCUGUGGCGAAAGCGGCUCACUGGACCAUAACUGACGCUGAGGCGC